UGAUCCUGGACAUUCAAAACAUCUCCAGGAGGUCCAGAACUGAGCCGGGAGAUCCAGAAUUUGUCCAGAACUGAACCAGGAGAUUCAGAAUUGAUCCAGGAGGUCCAGAACUGAUCCAGAAUCAAUUCAGGUGGUUCAGAACAUCUUCAGGAGAUCCUGGAGGUCCAGAACUGAGCCUGGAGGUCCCGAGUUGAUCCUGGAGGUUCAGAACCUCUCCAGGAGAUCCAGAACUGAACCAGGAGGUUCAAAACAUCUCCAGGAGUUCCAGGUGGUUCAGAACAUCUUCAGGAGAUCCAGGAGGUCCAGAAUUGAUCCAGGAGGUCCAGAACUGAGCCGGGAGGUCCAGAGUUGAUCCAGAAUCAAUUCAGGUGGUUCAGAACAUCUUCAGGAGAUC